UACGAAGGGGGCGAGCGUUGUUCGGAUUUACUGGGCGUAAAGGGCGCGUAGGCGGCUCAUGAAGGCUGUGGUGAAAGUCCGGGGCUCAACCUCGGAUCGGCCGUGGCGACUCGUGGGCUGGAGCACUGUAGAGGCGGGUGGAAUUCCGGGUGUAGCGGUGGAAUGCGUAGAGAUCCGGAAGAACACCAGUGGCGAAGGCGGCCCGCUGGGCAGUGGCUGACGCUGAGGCGCGACAGCGUGGGGAGCAAACAGG
rnacentral:rRNA from 1 species